GCCGGGCACGGUGGCGCACACCUGUGAUCCCAGCGGCUCAGGAGGCUGAGGCAGGAGGAUCAGCAACAGCGAGGCCCUGAGCAACUCAGUGAGACCCUGUCUCUA
rnacentral:sRNA from 1 species